rnacentral:rRNA from 1 species
UACGGGGGGGGCAAGCGUUGUUCGGAAUUACUGGGCGUAAAGGGCUCGUAGGCGGCCAACUAAGUCGGAUGUGAAAUCCCCAGGCUCAACCUGGGAACUGCAUCCGAUACUGGAUGGCUUGAAUUCGGGAGAGGGAUGCAGAAUUCCAGGUGUAGCGGUGAAAUGCGUAGAUAUCUGGAGGAACACCGGUGGCGAAGGCGGCGUCCUGGACCAAUACUGACACUGAUGAGCGAAAGCCAGGGGAGCAAACGGG